rnacentral:lncRNA from 1 species
UCAAGCCAACUCUCCACUCGCUACGUAGCGACCUGUAAAGCCUCAGAAAGGUCCUAUUUUGGGUUCUCUUUUGAAUCCUCAUCAAAACGCUUUUCGUUUCGUCUCAAUCGGAGGUUCCGUUGAGAUUUUACGACGAAAACAUGUAGGACUUUUCUUGGCUUGCUUCCACUCGCUAUGUAGCGACCUGUCAGACCGUCAGUCGCUACAUAGUGACCUGUAAUACUUCAGAAAGGUCCUCCUUUGGGUUCUCCUUUGAAUCCUCAUCGAAACGCUUUUCGUUUCGUCUCAAUCGGAGUUUCCG